AUGGAUGCAGCUAGUUAUUCAUGCACUGAACAUGGUUUUAAAACUGCAAUGGCUGAAUUAAAGAAUGAGAGUGAGGCUGCUUGGGAAUGGCUAAGCAAAAUACCUAAACACACUUGGGCCAGACAUGCAAUGGAUAUGAACUGCAAAACAGACUUAGUUGUUAACAAUUUAAGUGAGGUUUUCAACAAGUGGGUUCUAGAUGUCAGGGCUAAACCAAUUAGGACCAUGGUGGAUGGAAUUAGGACAAAGUUAAUGGUCAAGUUCAAUGCAAAUAGAACAAAGACUGAGACUGUAAGAUGA
rnacentral:rRNA from 1 species